rnacentral:misc_RNA from 1 species
GAAAUGCGAUACGUGAUGUGAAUUGCAGACUUCGUGAAUCAUCGAAUCUUUGAACGCAAAUGGCACUUCUGGGCUUGCUCAGGAGUAUGUCUGUUUGAGGGUCAGUUUUACGAUCACAGCCGCAAGGCUUUGUGGACGAUGAGCAUUCUCUUUGCCGGAGAUUGCUUGAAAGAUAUGCAGGAAGCGUAGCCGACAACCUCGGUUGCGGUCGUUCCUCGGCACAAGGUUCGUGCUCUUGAGCAAAGCCAUACGCAGGGAUUGUCCUGCUAUGCAGCCCCGACCUCCGGGUGUCUGUUCAUAGCUCGGGAGAUGAAACGCGCUUGUGGCUGAACUUUUGUGCUUUGGAAAAGGCCAGCAUUUCGCCGAUAGCAACGAGUGAUACUCGCAAGAGUUUUCAACAACGUGCUGGAAGCUGUGCUGUGCUGACUGCGCCUUGGUGGCUAGCCAGCUGCUCCUGAGCGUCGUCUUCUUCGGAAGCCGCGCAAACCCAAUCUUAUCUCAACUAUGACCUCAAAUCAGGCAAGACUACCCGCUGAACUUAAGC